GACGAACGCUGGCGGCGUGCUUAACACAUGCAAGUCGAACGGAAAGGCCCUGCUUUUGUGGGGUGCUCGAGUGGCGAACGGGUGAGUAACACGUGAGUAACCUGCCCUUGACUUUGGGAUAACUUCAGGAAGCUGGGGCUAAUACCGGAUAGGAGCUCCUGCUGCAUGGUGGGGGUUGGAAAGUUUCGGCGGUUGGGGAUGGACUCGGGGCUUAUCAGCUUGUUGGUGGGGUAGUGGCUUACCAAGGCUUUGACGGGUAGCCGGCCUGAGAGGGUGACCGGCCACAUUGGGACUGAGAUACGGCCCAGACUCCUACGGGAGGCAGCAGUGGGGAAUAUUGCACAAUGGGCGGAAGCCUGAUGCAGCAGCGCCGCGUGCGGGAUGACGGCCUUCGGGUUGUAAACCGCUUUCGCCUGUGACGAAGGGUGAGUGACGGUAAUGGGUAAAGAAGCACCGGCUAACUACGUG
rnacentral:rRNA from 1 species